UGAAAAAACACCACAAAAACACAUGUAUAAUUUAAACUAGCCUAGAAAACUACCGUUGAUCUCCAUCAGUUUGAGCGUGCGCCGAGCAACGCUACGCACCGGCGUGCAAUGCAGGGGACGCACGGCCGGCAGGACGACGGCAUGAUGAGGAUGAGGCCGGCGCGAGGUGGCUCGACAGCGCUAGCGCCGGCGGUUGCUCCGUGCCGCCGUGCGUGCGUGCGCGCGCGCGCUCGCUGGGGGGUGGGGCCGUCCCGUGCUGGCCUUGCCGUCUUGUCGCCUGCCUUGUCGGAACCAUUCCCGGCAACCCGCGAAAACUCCACCACGGAACUCCGCGCGACGCCAGCCUCUCGC
rnacentral:lncRNA from 1 species